UCCCUCUCAGGGUCGCACCUGGAGAGUUUCCAGUACUCUACCAGUCUCGGCUAGGGGAGGGAGAGUCGAGCAGAGGUAUACCCCUUCCAUUCCUAGCUUGGACAGUGGCUAGCGAGUGGAAGGCCAUCUGCAACAAGU
rfam:Ornithorhynchus anatinus chromosome 2, whole genome shotgun sequence.